rnacentral:rRNA from 1 species
UUUCGUCAGCUCGUUUUUGAAAUUUGGGGUAAAUUCCGGCACGGGGGCAACCCCUUUUCUUUUGUGCCCGGCGGUUAGGCCGGGAACUCAAAGGAGACUGCCGGUGAUAAACCGGAGGAAGGUGGGGAUGACGUCAAGUCAUCAUGGCCCUUACGAGUAGGGCUACACACGUGCUACAAUGGCGUAUACAAAGGGAAGCAACCUCGCGAGAGCAAGCGAACCUCAUAAAGUAUGUCGUAGUCCGGAUUGGAGUCUGCAACUCGACUCCAUGAAGUCGGAAUCGCUAGUAAUCGUGGAUCAGAAUGCCACGGUGAAUACGUUCCCGGGCCUUGUACACACCGCCCGUCACACCAUGGGAGUGGGUUGCAAAAGAAGUAGUUAGCUUAACCUUUCGGGAGGUG